rnacentral:rRNA from 1 species
GUGGGGAAUCUUCCGCAAUGGACGAAAGUCUGACGGAGCAACGCCGCGUGAGUGAAGAAGGUUUUCGGAUCGUAAAACUCUGUCGUUUGGGACGAACGUGCUUUGGGUAAAUAAUCUAAAGUAAUGACGGUACCAAAGGAGGAAGCCACGGCUAACUACGUGCCAGCAGCCGCGGUAAUACGUAGGUGGCAAGCGUUGUCCGGAAUUAUUGGGCGUAAAGGGCGUGUAGGUGGAUUCUUAAGUCGUGUGUCUAAGUGCGGGGCUCAACCCCGUAUGGGCGCAGGAAACUGGGGAUCUUGAGUGCAGGAGAGGAAAGUGGAAUUCCCAGUGUAGCGGUGAAAUGCGUAGAUAUUGGGAGGAACACCAGUGGCGAAGGCGACUUUCUGGACUGUGUCUGACACUGAGGCGCGAAAGCUAGGGGAGCGAACGGG